rfam:Myotis brandtii contig306174, whole genome shotgun sequence.
GGUGGUUUUCGGGUGUGCACCCCAGAUUUGGGCUCCCUCCUCUCUGGUUCUGGUGUGCGUCACCCAAGAACCACC